GAUGAAUGCUGGCGGCGUGCCUAAUACAUGCAAGUCGAGCGAAUGGAUUAAGAGCUUGCUCUUAUGAAGUUAGCGGCGGACGGGUGAGUAACACGUGGGUAACCUGCCCAUAAGACUGGGAUAACUCCGGGAAACCGGGGCUAAUACCGGAUAACAUUUUGAACCGCAUGGUUCGAAAUUGAAAGGCGGCUUCGGCUGUCACUUAUGGAUGGACCCGCGUCGCAUUAGCUAGUUGGUGAGGUAACGGCUCACCAAGGCAACGAUGCGUAGCCGACCUGAGAGGGUGAUCGGCCAACCUGGGACUGAGACACGGCCCAGACUCCUACGGGAGGUAGCAGUAGGGAAUCUUCCGCAAUGGACGAAAGUCUGACGGAGCAACGCCGCGUGAGUGAUGAAGGCUUUCGGGUCGUAAAACUCUGUUGUUAGGGAAGAACAAGUGCUAGUUGAAUAAGCUGGCACCUUGACGGUACCUAACCAGAAAGCCACGGCUAACUACGUGCCAGCCGCCGCAGUAA
rnacentral:rRNA from 1 species